GACGAACGCUGGCGGCGUGCUUAACACAUGCAAGUCGAACGGAAAGGCCCUGCUUUUGUGGGGUGCUCGAGUGGCGAACGGGUGAGUAACACGUGAGUAACCUGCCCUUGACUUUGGGAUAACUUCAGGAAACUGGGGCUAAUACCGGAUAGGAGCUCCUGCUGCAUGGUGGGGGUUGGAAAGUUUCGGCGGUUGGGGAGGGUCUCGCGGCUUAUCAGCUUGUUGGUGGGGUAGUGGCUUACCAAGGCUUUGACGGGUAGCCGGCCUGAGGGGGUGACCGGCCACAUUGGGACUGAGAUACGGCCCAGACUCCUACGGGAGGCAGCAGUGGGGAAUAUGGCACAAUGGGCGGAAGCCGAAUGCAGCAACGCCGCGUGCGGGAUGACGGCCUUCGGGUUGUAAACCGCUUUCGCCUGUGACGAAGCGUGAGUGACGGUAAUGGGUAAAGAAGCACCGGCUAACUACGUG
rnacentral:rRNA from 1 species